rnacentral:rRNA from 1 species
CCUACGGGAGGCAGCAGUGAGGAAUAUUGGUCAAUGGGCGAGAGCCUGAACCAGCCAAGUCGCGUGAAGGAUGAAGGAUCUAUGGUUUGUAAACUUCUUUUAUAUGGGAAUAAAGUGAGGAACGUGUUCCUUUUUGUAUGUACCAUAUGAAUAAGCAUCGGCUAACUCCGUGCCAGCAGCCGCGGUAAUACGGAGGAUGCGAGCGUUAUCCGGAUUUAUUGGGUUUAAAGGGUGCGUAGGUGGUUUUUUAAGUCAGCGGUGAAAGUUUGUGGCUCAACCAUAAAAUUGCCGUUGAAACUGGGGAACUUGAGUAUAUUUGAGGUAGGCGGAAUGCGUGGUGUAGCGGUGAAAUGCAUAGAUAUCACGCAGAACUCCGAUUGCGAAGGCAGCUUACUAAACUAUAACUGACACUGAAGCACGAAAG